GGCUGCUCCCUGCUCUGAGCUGCUGGCUAUUAGCUGUCAUCCAUCCUGGAUGUGAGACAAGCAGGUGGAUAAGAGAGACAUCAUCUCGUUAGGACCUGCAGGAACAGGCAAGCGGGGUGCCUAUCAGGGGCGCUCAUCUCCGAGGCAGGCUCGGACUCCAGCACGAAGCACCAGGGAGACCGUUUUCUGCUGAGUCUGCACCAUCCAUGGCAGGUUCCUGGCUUCGCUGGCUCUCCUUGGCUCUGUCUUUCCCGAGGAUGGCUGGGAGAGAGCGGGAUCAAAGUCUACCCUGUCAUGAGAGCUUGCAACUGACGGAACUUCCAAUGUCUUGACACAACUGAAGUUGAUUCCAUCCAACUCACCGCCCUCCAACUUGUCCGGCAAUGCCCACAACCACUCCUGAGGUUGUACACCAGGGCCCCCACUGAAGGGCCGGUCAAAAUUGUAGCUUCCAGCGCCAUCCACACCCACUGAGCACACUCUUUGGUAAUGGAGACAGAGGACCUACAUUUCUAACAAGUUCUGGUCACUUUGAUGUA
rnacentral:lncRNA from 1 species